CCCCUUGCAAGACCACUGCCAAUGCUUUCUGGGGCUACCCAUAUUGUCGUCUAAACUGCUCUGAGACCCACCAGGCACAAAGCCAGGCAGCUUGGAAAUUCGCUGGAUAGGCAUGGCUGCCUCUGACCCCAGCUGCCUUGAUCUGCCCUUAACACGUACUCUACAUGCCAAAGACCCAGGGAACCCGAGGCAGGGAGAAUACAUUCAGAAAGAGAAAUUCACCAUUCCAGGGAGUAACCCUUUACCAAUAGAUUGUAGAUAAGCACUUGCCUGGAGAAGAGAAAGGAGGGCAGAAGGAAGUGGGAGGAAGGAGUUAGUCAUAUUUUAAUAUUCUAAGACUUGGCAUCUAACAUGAGCCCUGCAAACCAAGGAGGCAGCAGGGUAGAGUGGGCCUCUGUGGUGUUACCACAAGUGCACCCAGCAGAGAAAAUAGCAAUAUACUGCAAACAUUCCCUGAGGGGUUCAAGAAGGUGACACCCUACUCUGACCCAGCCAUGGAGAGAUGCUUUUCUAAAACCAUGUGUAAGAAAGAGCAAAGGGUUGGGCGGGGAUGGGGGGCAGUAGGGCGGGGGUAUGUGGGAAGAGAGGGCUGGAUUGUUUAAUGCACCGUUAUUGAAGGAAUUUCCACUCGGGUACGUAUGUGCUGUAGACUUUCUGAACAUCACAUCUCACUCAAUAAAAGUGCACGCCAACACCACGUGCUCUGUUUAUGUCUCUCCCUAUCCAGUGCACUGGAUGGAUGGAUGAAGGCACUCUCCCAGGCUUCCAACUCUCGCAAGCUUUCCAUCUUCAUAGGGAAAGGAGACUCACUGGUAAGCAGCGAGAAUGUUCAACUAAGUCCUGGAUCGUACUGUACAUGGUCUGACUCUUGUAUGAGCAGAGACGAGCCACUGUGGCCUGGAGGAGCUUGUGGAAGCCUUCAUGGAAAGGACUGGGAAGGGCUUGAGGGACAGGAACAUAUUGUGAAACCAGAAAGCAUGAACUAAAGCCAGGGAGGAAAAAUUGCUGUCUGGACAGAUGCACACAUGACCAAGCCCGCUGGUGGUUGGUAGCCAGUUCCUCUGGGUUUUGGGGGCCUCUCUAGCCACAUGCUCCUCUUAGCGGGGCCAGGCCAAAAUUUCCACAAACAUUUCCAUCCUGAAUUCAGCCAGGUUGGGAUAUUUCAUUCUACCAAAAAGAGGAGCCAGAAACUUUGACCUGAAUGCAUAAAACUAAGGUGGAAAAACAAUGUUUGAAAUUUUUCUUCAGAAAAGGAAAGCCCCACCAAUAAUCUGGAAAUUCUUCAUAGGGCAGCAAUUUAAACCAGCAGCUUAAAACUCCUUGACAGAGAGGAAAAACUCUGUGAAGCACCUUCCAGAACUUCGAUCAUGAUCCUCUUGUUCCUGGGAGAAAGAGAGCCCGAGACAUGGCUUUGCUGCCUUGGGUCUUUAAGAAUUUGGGUCUGCCUCCAGUGUCUGAUGCUACAGCCAAGCCUCGGCCCUUCUCUUCCAAUGCACCCGCAGUAACACUGAUCCCAGUGCAUUCCUGCCAUUCUUCUGCCUUGCAGCAAGCUUCAGGUCAGAGGAGUUGCAAGA
rnacentral:lncRNA from 1 species